rnacentral:lncRNA from 1 species
GGUCGUCUUCAGUCUCAGGCACUGCCAGAUUGGCUGGUGAUGUGUCUGCUUGUAUUUUUCAGGAAGGAAAAUGAAUGGCAUUGGGAUUCGUAAAUAACCAGUGAAGCUCUGAAAGCUCAGCAUGAAGCUGAGGAGAAGAGCUGCUACAGGUAAGGAGCCAGUGCUGUUCCAGCAGCGUUGGGCAGAAAUGCAAGUGGUGGGCAGCAAAAUCUCCUUCUUCAAAACAAUGAGUAAUUGCGUUUUCCCACAAAUCAGAUUAUUCACUGUGAAUAAACCCCAUAAUAUUCUUUGUUGGUCCACUGCAGGCUGUGUUUUUGUGCCAUGGAUGGCACAGAGGCUGGCUGAGGGGCAGUCCCAGAGCACCUUCAAUCUCCUCCUGCAGAUGAGAACAGACACGUCACCCCCUCUUGAGAUGGGAAGAAAAUCCCCUGCCUCAGAUCCCGAGGCAGUGGUGUGUCACAUCGACCAACAAAAGCCCCAAAAACCAGUGACAGAAUUCUUCCCAGCAGUAGCUCUGCUCCUGAAACAGGAGCUCCGAGGAAGCCCUUGGAGAGUUGAUUUUAUUCCACUUUAUGAAGCAGGAGAUCAGGCAAGGCAAGGAAGAAUGGCAGCUGAAAAGUCUCUAAAAUAAAUGAUUGGGAUUUACACUUCCCAUUUAAACCCAGGCAGCUGGGUUGCCCAUGGGGUGGGAAACCCGAGGUGGGACUGUCUCUAAGUCCCAAGGGGUCUCUGGGCACGUCCUCCAGGUUCUUUGCAUCCCUUGUUACAUGGGGUACACCAGCCUCUUCCUUCAUCCCAUUGUCAACUGCAGCUCUGGGUAACUUCUUCCUGCUGGGCAGCACAAACUCGAGCCUUUUUUGGAGUCAUUCCUCUGAGGAUGAAGUGACAUUAAUAGCUGGGAUUUCCUUAACAGAGCCCUGCUUGUUUAUAAAGUCCUCGGCCUUCUUAGUGCAAAAGGAAGAGGAGCUCAGUGUGUUUGGGGAUGCAUGGCCAACGAAUGCAGCUUGUGGAUAGUGCCUGCUCCAUUCCCCAGCUGCUCCGAGAGCCUCCAGGCACUCUGUGUUCUCAUUUCCAUCUGGGGGCAGCAGCUCCCCCAUGGCCUGCAAUGCAGCCUAUCUUCUCCCAGCUCAGCUUCCAAG